rnacentral:lncRNA from 1 species
UAAAAUAGAUCUAUGUGAUAAUUAUUUUUGGAGGGGGUAUGCUUUUCACCAUAACAAGGAAUAUGAAAAUUUAAAUGUGUUAUAAAUUUUUACCUCCACAGAUUGUUUUGCUUAUUGGUGUUUAAUUAAAAACCAAACAACUUUUCCUAUUAACUUGAUGCUACUUAUUAAUUCAAACGAGGAGACUGACUCUGGAUAUUGGGAAAAUUUAUGCCCUAGUAAUCACCGGAAAAGACAUGUGGGGACAUAAUGAGAGGACAGCCAUCUGCAAGCCAAGAAGAGAAUCCUCACCAGAAACCAACUUGACUGGAAUCUUGAUCUUGAACUUCUUGCUUCCAGAAUUAUGAGAAAAUAAAUUGUUAUUUAACCCACACAGUCUAUUGUACUUAGUUGUAGCAGUCUGAGAAGACUAAUACAUUGACAAAC